UACGUAGGGUGCGAGCGUUAAUCGGAAUUACUGGGCGUAAAGGGUUCGUAGGCGGCCCCGCAAGUCAGGCGUGAAAUCCCCGGGCUUAACCUGGGAAUGGCGCUUGAAACUAGGGGGCUGGAGUAUGGCAGAGGGAGGUGGAAUUCCACGUGUAGCGGUGAAAUGCGUAGAGAUGUGGAGGAACACCGAUGGCGAAGGCAGCCGCCUGGGCCAGCACUGACGCUCAGGCACGAAAGCGUGGGGAGCAAACAGG
rnacentral:rRNA from 1 species